rnacentral:lncRNA from 13 species
AUGGCGAUGGCGACACGAAGGAUGUCCCCGAGGCGGCGGCCUUCAGUGCCAGCUCCACCCGGAAGACGCCAGCCGCGCAUCGCAGGGCUCACAGCAGACGCAGACAGAUGGGGCGGCGGGGACAGCAGGGCCCGGGACGCAGUGGGCAGCUGCAGGCGGGGACGGUGGUCGGAGCUGCGAGCACUGAAUGGUGCGCGGCCGUGCCACUACCGGCCACCGGGAAGCAGAGCGCCUGGUAGAGCCCAGGCCCUGGGAGCACAGCCCACGUGUUCCGGGCACGGGCUCGGCAGCCGGAUGGUGCGUGCGCGCCCGCAGGCGGAGGCUCAGCGCCGUCGGGGCACCGCGGGCCUCCAAACGGACUUGCAGCAGCAGCGGGCGCCCGGCCAGGUGCUUGCAGCUCCGGGCCCGGAGCCCAAGACACGCCGCGUCCUGCCCGCCGCCCCUCGCGGCCUCCGUCCAACAGCUCCUGGGGCAUUUGCGCGGCGCCCACCGCAUAGAUGGGGAAACGGAAGCACAGAGAGGCCAAGAAACUUGUUAAAGGUCACAGAGCCCAUAAGUGAUAGGGCCAGGACUUGAAUCUGAGCAGACCAGCUACAGAGCCCACAUGCUGAAACCACCGUGCUGUGCUGUUUUCUGGUGGGUGAUGCUGAUGACAACGAUGACACUUUUGACACUGGGCUUGCUUUGGUGCACACUACAUGCAUUCAUGUAUGGGAACAUGCUCUGCCGGCUAAAAAGUAAAUGCUGGACUUGUAUGAACUCUGACUUAGGUACAAGUUGCGGGAGAGGGAAGGCAGGAGCAGCAGCGUGGAACACCUACUGUGUGCGGCCCCUGGGUGAAGCACUGAGAAAUGGAAUAGGAAGGAGACCCAGCCUUGGCACUCAGGGACUUCCCAGGCUCUGAGAAAGACAGACGCAAACCAUGGCAAUGCAGGUGCCAGUACAUGGGUUAGAAGUGGCAGCAGAGGGCACAGCAGAGGUGGCAGGCACUGCAUGCCAGCCGGGCCUGGGUGCUGUGCUAAAAUCCUCUUUUUUGUACCCUCUCCUUGCAGGGGAGCAGACUCUAAAGAACACCGCAUCGGGGCCGUGGCUCACGCCUGCAUUCCCAGCAAUUUGGGAGGCUGAGGCCAGAGAAUCACUUGCAGCCAUAAGUCCGAGACCAGCCAGAGCAACAUAGCAAGACCUCAUCUCUUUAAAAAAAUUACCAAAAAAAGAAAAAAAGUUGAAUGUGGCCCCAGCUACUCAGGAUGCUGAGGCAGGAGGGAGAACCCCUUUAGCCCAGGAGUUCAAGACUUUAAUGAGCCGAGAUCGCCCCACUGCCCUCCAGCCCGGGUGACAGAGUGAGA